rnacentral:ribozyme from 1 species
AUAUCCCCAGGGAAAGAAAGAAAGCAAAAAUAAAGAAAGAAAGAAAGAAAG